rnacentral:rRNA from 1 species
AGUAUCAUUAAGUGAAUACAUAGCUUAAUGAGGGGAACUCAGGGAACUGAAACAUCUAAGUACCUGAAGGAAGAGAAAGAAAUUCGAUUCCGUAAGUAGCGGCGAGCGAACGCGGAUUAGCCCAAACCAAUAAAGUUUUCUUUAUUGGGGUUGAGGACAUAUCAUAACGAAGAGGUAUCGUAAUUGAAGAGGUUUGGAAAGACCCACCACAGAAGGUAAUAGUCCUGUAUGUUAAACGAGAAGACUUUAGAUAUGAUCCAGAGUACCACGGGACACGUGAAACCCUGUGGGAAGCAGGAGGGACCACCCUCCAAGGCUAAAUACUACCUAGUGACCGAUAGCGUAUAGUACCGUGAGGGAAAGGUGAAAAGAACCCCGGGAGGGGAGUGAAAUAGAACCUGAAACCCUGCACUUACAAGCUGUGGAAGCACAUUUCUUGUGUGACCGCGUACUUUUUGUAGAACGGGCCAACGAGUUACGUUAAGUAGCAAGGUUAAGCACUUAAGGUGCGGGGCCGUAGCGAAAGCGAGUUUUAACUGAGCGUUCAGUUACUUGACGUAGACCCGAAACCGGGCGACCUACCCAUGAGCAGGAUGAAGCGAAAGUAAAAUUUCGUGGAGGUCCGAACCCACGAGCGUUGAAAAGCUCGGGGAUGACUUGUGGGUAGCGGUGAAAUUCCAAUCGAGCCCGGAGAUAGCUGGUUCUCCCCGAAAUAGCUUUAGGGCUAGCCUCAAGGUGAGAGAUACGGAGGUAGAGCACUGAAUGUCCUAGGGGGUAUUGCACCUACCGAAGACUAUCAAACUCCGAAUGCCGUCAUCUUAUACUUGGGAGUCAGACUGUGGGUGAUAAGAUUCAUAGUCGAAAGGGCAACAGCCCAGAUCGUCAGCUAAGGUCCCUAAAUGUAAGUUAAGUGGUAAAGGAUGUGGGAUUGCACAGACAACCAGGAUGUUGGCUUAGAAGCAGCCACUCAUUCAAAGAGUGCGUAAUAGCUCACUGGUCGAGUGAUCCUGCGCCGAAGAUUUCCGGGGCUAAAACUUACUACCGAAGCUACGGCAUCAGUAAUGAUGGGUAGGGGAGCUUCCCAUACGGGUUGAAGCAUGACCGUAAGGACAUGUGGACAGUAUGGGAGUGAGAAUGUUGGCAUGAGUAGCGAGAUGUGGGUGAGAAUCCCACAGGCCGUAAACCCAAGGUUUCCAGGGGAAGGUUCGUCCGCCCUGGGUUAGUCGGGACCUAAGCUGAGGCCGAAAGGCGUAGGUGAUGGACAACAGGUUGAUAUUCCUGUACUACCGAU